UACAGAGGUCCCAAGCGUUGUUCGGAUUCAUUGGGCGUAAAGGGUGCGUAGGCGGCGCGGUAAGUCGGAUGUGAAAUCUUGGAGCUUAACUCCGAAACUGCAUUCGAUACUGCCUCGCUUGAGUACUGGAGAGGAGACUGGAAUUUACGGUGUAGCAGUGAAAUGCGUAGAUAUCGUAAGGAAGACCAGUGGCGAAGGCGAGUCUCUGGACAGUUACUGACGCUGAGGCACGAAGGCCAGGGGAGCAAACGGG
rnacentral:rRNA from 1 species